rnacentral:rRNA from 1 species
GACGAACGCUGGCGGCGUGCCUAAUACAUGCAAGUUGAGCGCUGAAGGUUGGUACUUGUACCAACUGGAUGAGCAGCGAACGGGUGAGUAACGCGUGGGGAAUCUGCCUUUGAGCGGGGGACAACAUUUGGAAACGAAUGCUAAUACCGCAUAAAAACUUUAAACACAAGUUUUAAGUUUGAAAGAUGCAAUUGCAUCACUCAAAGAUGAUCCCGCGUUGUAUUAGCUAGUUGGUGAGGUAAAGGCUCACCAAGGCGAUGAUACAUAGCCGACCUGAGAGGGUGAUCGGCCACAUUGGGACUGAGACAAGGCCCAAACUCCUACGGGAGGCAGCCGUAGGGAAUCUUCGGCCAUGGACGAAAGUCUGAACGGGCAACGCCGCGUGAGUGAAGAAGGUUUUCGGAUCGUAAAACUCUGUUGGUAGAGAAGAACGUUGGUGAGAGUGGAAAGCUCAUCAAGUGACGGUAACUACCCAGAAAGGGACGGCUAACUACGUG